rnacentral:rRNA from 1 species
CCUACGGGUGGCAGCAGUGAGGAAUAUUGGUCAAUGGUCGAGAGACUGAACCAGCCAAGCCGCGUGAGGGAUGACGGUCCAGAGGAUUGUAAACCUCUUUUGUCAGGGAACAAAGGCGGGCACGUGUGCCCGGAUGAGUGUACCUGAAGAAAAAGCAUCGGCUAACUCCGUGCCAGCAGCCGCGGUAAUACGGAGGAUGCGAGCGUUAUCCGGAUUUAUUGGGUUUAAAGGGUGCGCAGGCGGUCUGUUAAGUCAGCGGUGAAAGCCCGGGGCUCAACCCCGGUCCGGCGGUUGAAACUGGCAGUCUUGAGUGGGAGAGAAGUAUGCGGAAUGCGUGGUGUAGCGGUGAAAUGCAUAGAUAUCGCGCAGAACUCCGAUUGCGAAGGCAGCAUGCCGGCGCCACACUGACGCUGAGGCACGAAAGUGUGGGUAUCGAACAGGAUUAGAUACCCGGGUAGUC